rnacentral:rRNA from 1 species
AACGAACGCUGGCGGCAUGCCUAACACAUGCAAGUCGAACGAGACCUUCGGGUCUAGUGGCGCACGGGUGCGUAACGCGUGGGAACCUGCCCUUAGGUUCGGAAUAACUCCCCGAAAGGGGUGCUAAUACCGGAUAAUGUCUUCGGACCAAAGAUUUAUCGCCUUUGGAUGGGCCCGCGUUGGAUUAGCUAGUUGGUAGGGUAAAAGCCUACCAAGGCGACGAUCCAUAGCUGGUCUGAGAGGAAGAGCAGCCACACUGGGAGUGAGACACGGCCCAGAAUCCUACGGGAGGGAGCAGUGGGGAAUAUUGGACAAUGGGCGGAAGCCUGAUCCAGCAAUGCCGCGUGAGUGAUGAAGGCCUUAGGGUUGUAAAGCUCUUUUACCCGGGAUGAUAAUGACAGUACCGGGAGAAUAAGCUCCGGCUAACUCCGUG